UACGUAGGUGGCGAGCGUUGUCCGGAAUUACUGGGCGUAAAGGGUGCGUAGGCGGUGCUUUAAGCCAGAUGUGAAACCCCGGGGCUUAACUUCGGGAUUGCAUUUGAAACUGGGGUGCUAGAGUGCAGGAGAGGAAAGCGGAAUUCCUAGUGUAGCGGUGAAAUGCGUAGAUAUUAGGAAGAACACCAGUGGCGAAGGCGGCUUUCUGGACUGUAACUGACGCUGAGGCACGAAAGCGUGGGGAG
rnacentral:rRNA from 1 species